CGAAAGCCUGACGCAGCGACGCCGCGUGGAGGAUGAAGGUCUUCGGAUUGUAAACUCCUGUCAGAGGUGAAGAAAGCCUUUUUAGGUCUGACGGUAACCUCAGAGGAAGCCCCGGCUAACUACGUGCCAGCAGCCGCGGUAAUACGUAGGGGGCAAACGUUGCUCGGAAUUACUGGGCGUAAAGGGUGCGCAGGUGGCUGAGAAAGUCGUUGAUGAAAUCCCGGGGCUUACCCCCGGAACCGUCUUCGAUACUUCUCAGCUUGAGGAUAGUCGAGGAGAACGGAAUUCCCGGUGGAGCGGUGAAAUGCGUAGAUAUCGGGAGGAACACCAGAGGCGAAGGCGGUUCUCUAGGCUGAUCCUGACACUGAGGCACGAAAGCUAGGGGAGCG
rnacentral:rRNA from 1 species